GCCAGGCAUGGUGGUGUGUGCCUGUGAUCCGAGCUACUUGGGAGGCUGAGGUGGGAGGAUCAUUUGAGCCCAGGAGGUCAAGACUGCCGGAGGCGUGAUCACGACACUGCACUGCAGCCUGGGCAACAGAAUGAGACUCUGUCUCUU
ensembl:misc_RNA Metazoa_SRP Metazoan signal recognition particle RNA